GGCCUAAUGGCUCAGUUGGUUAGAGCGCCGCCCUGUCACGGCGGAGGUCGCGGGUUCGAGUCCCGCUUGGGGCG
rnacentral:tRNA from 1 species